AAAUGGCUUUUGGGGGACCUGGUGUCGGGGUUAACUGUGGGCGUUGUACACAUCCCUCAAGGAAUGGCCUUUGCUCUGCUCACUUCAGUGGCUCCAAUCUAUGGGCUCUACACUUCAUUCUUCCCAGCCUUGUUGUAUCUGCUUUUUGGAACAGGACGUCAUGUGUCUACAGGCACAUUUGCUGUGGUCAGUCUGAUGACGGGCUCCGUGGUGGAGCGCUUGGUCCCCAUCCCCCAGCAUUCCAAUGGCACAGGUCCUGCUGAGGU